AGAAAGAAUCUGAGGGCAGAAUGGGGGGCCUGUUAGGAGGCUACUAUGCUUGCCCAGCCCAGUGGAGAGGCCACCCGGCCCCGUUAGCCUCUACCUGAAGGGUUCCCUGGAGGUGGACUUGCAAUACUAAACCCUAGAAAGUCCCAGGCAAACCGGGAGAGAUCGGCACCCCUCCCGGGCAACACCUGAUGAUGUCUCAGAUGCCAGCACAGCAAGUGGAAGGGUGUGGAGGCCUAGAGACCGAGGGCCUCUGACGAUGGACUGGACUAAAGGCUGAAGCAAAAGGCAGACUCUCCGGUUCUGGCUUUUGCAACCAGAAGCAUCAGCCUUCUACUGAGAAAGAAAAGACUGUCUCAUUUCUCUGCCUCGGGCUUUUCUGGGCGGAAAGCAAGCUGACCGAGAACAGCGGGAAAGAAGCCACCUUCUCGCUGUGUAGUAACUUCUAGGAUUUUAGGCAAAUACUGCCACGAAAGUGAAAAGACAACCCACAGAAGGAGAGAAAAUGUUUAUAAAACAUACAGCUGACAAGGGACAUGUACCUGAAUAUAUAAAGAACUACAACUCAAUGAUAAAAAGGUAAAUAACAAGAUGAGGAAGCCAAGGUCCAAUGAUGUGAAGGGCUCCACCCACUGUCGCACAGCUGUGGGUCCCAGAGCUGGACUGGAACCUGCUUUCUCUUACUCUGUUUGCUUCUUCUCUCCUACUGGCUUUCAAGUGUCCAACACAGUCUUGGGCCCUGUCGUCACUGCGCCACAUCAAAGACACAUCCACUCCCCCACGUUCACUGCAGCAACGUUGGCAGGAUCCCAGACGCGGACACAGCCGAAGUGCCCAUCGCUGAACGUGAAUGGAUAAAGGAAAUGUGAUAACACGGUGGGAUGGCGUAGUGGAAUAUAACGGAAUAUUACUUGGCCACAUAAAAGAAGGAAGUCUUGUUGUUCGGGACAACGUGAUCGGAACUCGAGGGCAUCGUGCCGGUGGACUUCUGCAAAUGUCCAGGUACCAGUCAUGCGACUCUUACGUGAGACUCUGGGUGUGCACAUCCACAUGUAUAAAGACGGAGAAAAUAAAACAAGGUACGGCAUUGCUCAUAGCUUUUCAUCUAUUUCUGAGUCAAAAACAAGACUGUAAGUACUGCUGUGCUCGAUUUAGGUGUGAGCCCUUCACUCUCAAAUCCCUGCUUGGUACUUUGCAUUGCCCUGGGCAAAGACAAGGUCCUUCGUAAAUUGUUCUGGGUAGCUUGAGUUUUUUCUAACCUUUCUUUCCAACCACCAAGGAUCUGAGUUACCUCCAUCCUGGAAAGGGAAAAGGCAGAGCCAGGGGGAUGGCCUAAGAGGAGCAGUGUGAUGGGCUCAGCGGGCCUCACAGACCCAUGAUGCUAGGGGCAUGGGGUGGGAGGGAAGGCACAGGGCUGAGUGGGAAGGGGCAGGGCUUCCCCCCACCCCAUCAUGACAUAAGAUGGAUAAGUCUACCAUCCAUACCUGGCCAGCCUGCCCUUGGAAGGGCCUCUCCAACCCCUGCCUCAUCUUUCAACUUCCAAUACUCCACUGACUUCCCAUGAGACCUUCCUCCCUAUCACCUAAUUUCUGCUAAGAUGUCUAUCCAUAAAUUGCCUUACGUGGACUGGCUGCCUGACUGUAUUGGAAUUUCAAUCCAAGAUCUUUGGAGAUCCAGGACAAUCAGUCAUGGAACUACAGUCUCUCAGAAGGGAAGGGCUGAGCUAUCACCGAAUCCAGAGGGGACAGGUUCUCAGGUCUGGGGCAGGCAGGUAAAUGCAGAUGUCCCAAGCAGGCACAUGACCUAGGGGUGGUGACCAGGUAGGCCAGCAAGGACAGCCUUGCCUCCUCUAAAGACAUCCAAAUUCCAGCUUUUGAAGACACUCUUCAGGCAGAAAGAAAAACAAAACAAAACAAAACAAAAAAAACCCAGAAACACCAGCAGAGUGAAAUAAGGAAAUAGGAAAAGCUACACUUUAAAUGCCAUGUGGUGUCCUGGCUGGGAUCCUGGAACAGAAAAGAGACAUUCGUGGAAAAGCAGUGAGGUGCACAUGAAGCCUGCAGUUUAGCUUCUAGUAGUGCACCAAUGUUAAUGCCUUCGUUGGCAAGUGUACCGUGAUUGGUGUGAGAUGUUAAUGAUAGAGGGAGUUGGGUCAAGGGUACCUGGGAACUCUCUUGUUCUAUCUUUGCAACUUCUUUUGUAAAUUAAAAUUAUUCCAAAAUGAUGUUUAUUAAAAACAAAAACAAAAACAAAAAAAAACCAGCUACCUCCAUAGGGGAGAUCUCUGAUUACAGUACCUGUCGCUUAUUCACUGUGUCUAAGAGCUUUGUGUAUACUAUUCCGUGGGAUCCUUGUGACAAUUCUAUCAGAGUUAUCCUUGUGACAAUAAUUUUUGUCAUCCUUUUCAUCUACGAGGCAUCUAAGGCACAGGCAGGUUAUGUAUCUUGCCCAAGGUCACAUAGUGACCCUGCGGCAGAGCCAGGCUUCUAUUCCGAUGCACAGUAUAUUUCUCCCAACCAGCCCACCUGCGGGAUUGUAAACAGGCUUGUCAAGAUCAGAGGCUCACUGGGGAUCCCUGGGUGGCUCAGUGGUUGAGCGUCUGCCUUCAGCUCAGGGCACGAUCCCUUAGAGUCCCAGGAUCG